UUACAAACCUCACGACGUGCUGCAUAUAAAUAUGCGCAGGCCUGACCGACCUAAACAAUCCUAGACGCACUAGUUGUCCUAAUACUACACGGACCCAACACGCCUGAACAGCAAAGCAAACUCCUAGCCGGACUCAACAUGGACACGUACAACUAAUCCUAUCCAAACUAAUAUGGAUACAGCCAAGACUCUCUAAGGUGAACUUAUACACCUAGCCUACCUUGAUCAUCAUUAGUCUAAAUCUAGAAUAAACUCCUACUACAGACUCAACCAAUACUAUGACUAAGACAAGAUUACCUAACAAUCUCCCCCUAAUCUUGACUUGUCAUCUUCCGGUACUCUCCUGAUUUUGACUUGCUGAAUAUCUGCAUCUUGUCGACUCAUCGACUCAACCGCCAUAUCCGUACACUGAGUAUGACCCGCCUGAAAACAUGCAGAACCUCUUUGCUCUACAAUGUUGUGCCAUCGCUAUUGCUUGGCCGCUGCCUUGCACUCGGUCCGCACCAUACUCCUUGUACUUGCUUGCAGCAGAUCCACUCUCCACUGCCCGCACACUUCCUCGCUUUACGAUGGCUUCGCCUACCAUCGUCCGCCUUCGGCAUCACACCGAAUCCACACUGGCCGCAACCAGGACGCUCCACGAGGACAUGGACAUGACUCACGGAACACCGUGCACACCGCUUCCACUUCAACGAAUCAUCACCAAGACAAGCACUUGGACACGACGACGACUCACAGACGCAACGAUGACGACUGAUCGUGCAAACCCGCACGACUCCUUGAUUCAUCCAACUCCCCCCGGACGACGAUCUUGAUGAGCUCCAGCGCCGCACCUCGGCACCACCUCUCCCAUCAAUGAUCUUCUUCCACAGCCUUGCCGACGACAACCUACUGUCUCCCUCCUUGUCGCUCCGACGAACGACGAUCGCUUGUUCUCCUCUUCGCCGCAUCAUCCAGCGACUUCAUGGCCCGCCCCGAGGCACUAGUCGGGUCGCAACCCCGGGGCAAGCGCUCGACUCCUGAACCUUGCUCUGAUACCAAUUGUUGGAACUCGCCCACAGGAUCAAUCACAUCAAAUCACAUGAACACACACGUGCAAAAACUUUGGCCAAGGGCACGUGUCGUGCCCCUUCUUCUCUUUAUUUCUUUUCUCUUUUUCUCAAUACCACGGUGUUACAAACCUCACGACGUGCUGCAUAUAAAUAUGCGCAGGCCUGACCGACCUAAACAAUCCUAGACGCACUAGUUGUCCUAAUACUACACGGACCCAACACGCCUGAACAGCAAAGCAAACUCCUAGCCGGACUCAACAUGGACACGUACAACUAAUCCUAUCCAAACUAAUAUGGACACAGCCAAGACUCUCUAACGUGAACUUAUACACCUAGCCUAAUCACCCGCUACCUUGAUCAUCAUUAGUCUAAAUCUAGAAUAAACUCCUACUACAGACUCAACCAAUACUAUGACUAGGACAAGAUUACCUAACA
rnacentral:lncRNA from 1 species